GCAGUUACACCACCAAUGUCUUGUAUAAGAUGAGACUUCACCUGGAUAACCACAUGCAGCUUGCUGUGCGAUUCAAAGGGGUUUUCAUCUGUAAAUGUAGCCGGGCUUGCCGGACGUCUGCCCAUUUUCACUGCAUUCAGUGCAAUGCCACAAUCAUAUGAAAGGACCAGUUUCUACUGCAUAUUAACAGUCACCAAUCACCACCCCGUGCACCAGCCGCCACCAUCACACAGUCUCCAGGUCCUGCACCAGCCGCCACCAUCACACAGUCUCCAGCCUCUGCACCAGCUGCCACCAUCACACAGUCUCCAGGUCCUGCACCAGCCGCCACCAUCACACAGUCUCCAGCCUCCGCAGUUCCACCGCCUCCACCUCCUCUCAUUCGCAAGAACAGAGAAACAGUAAUGUGUCCACACUGUAGUCAAGUUGUCAACAGGAGGAAUGUGCGAGUACAUCUCCUGAGAAAAAAAAGGUGGAGGAAAUUUAAACCUACCCUGCCUACUGA